UACGUAGGGGGCUAGCGUUGCUCGGAAUCACUGGGCGUAAAGCGCACGUAGGCGGAUUGCUAAGUCUGGGGUGAAAUCCUGGAGCUCAACUCCAGAACUGCCUUUGAUACUGAAGAUCUUGAGUUCGGGAGAGGUGAGUGGAACUGCGAGUGUAGAGGUGAAAUUCGUAGAUAUUCGCAAGAACACCAGUGGCGAAGGCGGCUCACUGGCCCGAUACUGACGCUGAGGCACGAAAGCGUGGGGAGCAAACAGG
rnacentral:rRNA from 1 species